rfam:Danio rerio chromosome 6, GRCz11 reference primary assembly.
GGGUACAUCUUACCUGACAGUGCUUGGCUGUUCACUGAUGUUCUAACACUGUCUGGUAACGAUGCACUC